rnacentral:snRNA from 1 species
AGCUUUGCGCAGUGGCAGUAUCAUAGCCAAUGAGGUCAAACCGAGGCGUGAUUAUUGCUAAUUGAAAACUUUUCCCAAUACCCCGCGGUGAUGACUUGGAAUAUAGUCAGCACUGGCAAUUUUUGACAGUCUCUCAGGAGA